ACGUUCAGCGAGCUUAUUUACCUGUCCCGAAAGGGCACGGGAAAUCUUGUUAGGACGUGUCGUGCUGGGGAUAGAUCUUUGCAAUUAUAGAUCUUGAACGAGGAAUUCCUUGUAAGCACAGGUCAUCAGCCUGUGCUGAAUACGUCCCUGCCCUUUGUACACACCGCCCGUCGCUCCUACCGAUUUCGAGUGAUGUGGUGAACUAUCUGGACUGCGAGUGGGCUCGAACCAUUUGCGGGAAGUUUACGUAACACUUUAAAUUUUACGGGGGUUCCCCCAAAUAAUCCCCUCAAAAAAAACUAUUUAAAUUUUUUUAACCCUCCCUCGGUUACUCGUAUAAUAUUAAUUUUAAACAGCAGAUCA
rnacentral:rRNA from 1 species